ACCACACCGAAGCCGCGGAACCCGUAAGGGUUGGUAGAGGAGCAUUCUUAGGGGAGCGAAGCAUUACCGGAAGGGGAUGUGGACCGCUAAGAAGAGAGAAUGCCGGAAUGAGUAGCGAGAGCAAGGUGAGAAUCCUUGCGGCCGAAUAUCCAAGGUUUCCAGAGUAAAGCUGAUCUGCUCUGGGUAAGUCGGGGCCUAAGGAGAGGCAGAGAUGCGUAUCCGAUGGACAGCAGGUUUAAGAUUCCUGCACCCCUUGUUAUCAGAACUGCGGGGACACGGGAAGGGAAGCAGAGCCGGGAAUGGAAAGCCCGGUGCAAGCGAAGGAGUCGCAGGGUUGGAAAAUCCGCCCUGCAUAAGACGAAGGCGUGAUGCGGAGCGAAAUGAAGUAGUGAAGCUGCGGCCCCUUCCUGUCGAGAAAAGCCGCUAUCGUGUAGCAAGGGCCCGUACCGUAAACCGACACAGGUGGAUGAGGAGAGGAUCCUAAGGCCGGCGGGAGAAGUGUUGUUAAGGAACUCGGCAAAAUGACUCCGUAACUUCGGGAGAAGGAGUGCUGCGCAAGCAGCCGCAGAGAAAUGGCCCAAGCAACUGUUUAGCAAAAACACAGGUCUAUGCGAAACCGAAAGGUGAGGUAUAUGGGCUGACGCCUGCCCGGUGCUGGAAGGUUAAGGGGAGAGCUUAGCGCGAGCGAAGGUUUGAACUUAAGCCCCAGUAAACGGCGGCCGUAACAAUAACGGUCCUAAGGUAGCGAAAUUCCUUGUCGGGUAAGUUCCGACCCGCACGAAAGGCGUAAUGAUUUGGGCACUGUCUCAACAACACACCCGGUGAAAUUGAAAUACCAGUGAAGAUGCUGGUUACCCGCGCCAGGACGGAAAGACCCCAUGGAGCUUUACUCCAGCCUGAUACUGGGAUUCGGUAUUGCAUGUACAGGAUAGGUGGGAAGCUAAGAACUUAUGGCGCCAGCUGUAAGGGAGCCGGUGUUGGGAUACCACCCCUGCAGUACUGGGUUUCUAACCUGCGCCCGUGACCCGGGCGGGGGACAAUGUCAGGCGGGGAGUUUGACUGGGGCGGUCGCCUCCGAAAGGGUAUCGGAGGCGCUCAAAGGUCUCCUCAGGAUGGUUGGAAACCAUCCAGAGAGUGCAAAGGCAGAAGGAGGCUUGACUGCGACACCGACGGGUGGAGCAGGUACGAAAGUAGGACUUAGUGAUCCGGUGGCAUAAAGUGGGAUUGCCAUCGCUCAACGGAUAAAAGCUACCCUGGGAUAACAGGCUUAUCACUCCCAAGAGUUCACAUCGACGGAGUGGUUUGGCACCUCGAUGUCGGCUCAUCGCAUCCUGGAGCUGGAGCAGGUUCCAAGGGUUGGGCUGUUCGCCCAUUAAAGCGGUACGCGAGCUGGGUUCAGAACGUCGUGAGACAGUUCGGUCCCUAUCCGGCGCGGGCGCAGGAUAUCUGAGAGGAGCUGUCCUUAGUACGAGAGGACCGGGAUGGACCGUCCGCUGGUGGACCGGUUGUCAUGCCAAUGGCACGGCCGGGUAGCCAAGACGGGAAGGGAUAAACGCUGAAGGCAUCUAAGCGUGAAGCCCCCCUCAAGAUGAGAUAUCCAUACUCGAAAGAGUGAGAGACCCCUUAGAGACGAUGAGGUAGAUAGGGCAGGGAUGGAAGCACAGCGAUGUGUGGAGUUGACUGUUACUAAUCGGUCGAUAGCUU
rnacentral:rRNA from 1 species